GCGGUCGUAGCUCAGCUGGUUAGAGCACUCGCCUGUCACGUGAGGGGUCGUGGGUUCGAGUCCCAUCGACCGCGCAA
rnacentral:tRNA from 2 species